rnacentral:rRNA from 1 species
GUGGGGAAUAUUGGACAAUGGGCGAAAGCCUGAUCCAGCCAUGCCGCGUGUGUGAAGAAGGUCUUCGGAUUGUAAAGCACUUUAAGUUGGGAGGAAGGGCAGUAAGUUAAUACCUUGCUGUUUUGACGUUACCGACAGAAUAAGCACCGGCUAACUUCGUGCCAGCAGCCGCGGUAAUACGAAGGGUGCAAGCGUUAAUCGGAAUUACUGGGCGUAAAGCGCGCGUAGGUGGUUUUGUAAGUUGGAGGUGAAAACCCCGGGCUCAACCUGGGAACUGCCUCCAAAACUGCAUGACUAUAGUACGGUAGAGGGUAGUGGAAUUUCCUGUGUAGCGGUGAAAUGCGUAGAUAUAGGAAGGAACACCAGUGGCGAAGGCGGCUCUCUGGCCAUUGACUGACGCUGAGAUGCGAAAGCGUGGGGAGCAAACAGGAUUAGAAACCCUAGUAGUCC